rnacentral:rRNA from 1 species
AGAGUUUGAUCCUGGCUCAGGAUGAACGCUAGCGACAGGCUUAACACAUGCAAGUCGAGGGGCAGCAUGGUUUGUAGCAAUACAAACUGAUGGCGACCGGCGCACGGGUGAGUAACGCGUAUGCAACUUACCUAUCAGAGGGGAAUAGCCCGGCGAAAGUCGGAUUAAUACCCCAUAAAACAGGGAUCCCGCAUGGGAAUAUUUGUUAAAGAUUCAUUGCUGGUAGAUAGGCAUGCGUUCCAUUAGGCAGUUGGCGGGGUAACGGCCCACCAAACCGACGAUGGAUAGGGGUUCUGAGAGGAAGGUCCCUCACAUUGGUACUGAGACACGGACCAAACUCCUACGGGAGGCAGCAGUGAGGAAUAUUGGUCAAUGGCCGAGAGGCUGAACCAGCCAAGUCGCGUGAAGGAAGAAGGAUCUAUGGUUUGUAAACUUCUCUUAUACGGGAAUAAAGUGAGGGACGUGUCCCUUUUUGUAUGUACCGUAUGAAUAAGCAUCGGCUAACUCCGUGCCAGCAGCCGCGGUAAUACGGAGGAUGCGAGCGUUAUCCGGAUUUAUUGGGUUUAAAGGGUGCGUAGGUUGUUUUUUAAGUCAGCGGUGAAAGUUUGUGGCUUAACCAUAAAAUUGCCGUUGAAACUGGGAGACUUGAGUGUGUUUGAGGUAGGCGGAAUGCGUGGUGUAGCGGUGAAAUGCAUAGAUAUCACGCAGAACUCCAAUUGCGAAGGCAGCUUACUAAACCAUAACUGACACUGAAGCACGAAAGCGUGGGGAUCAAACAGGAUUAGAUACCCUGGUAGUCCACGCAGUAAACGAUGAUUACUAGGAGUUUGCGAUAGACAGUAAGCUCUACAGCGAAAGCGUUAAGUAAUCCACCUGGGGAGUACGCCGGCAACGGUGAAACUCAAAGGAAUUGACGGGGGCCCGCACAAGCGGAGGAACAUGUGGUUUAAUUCGAUGAUACGCGAGGAACCUUACCCGGGCUUGAACUGCCAGUGACUCAUGCAGAGACGCAUGUUUCUUCGGACACUGGCGGAGGUGCUGCAUGGUUGUCGUCAGCUCGUGCCGUGAGGUGUUGGGUUAAGUCCCGCAACGAGCGCAACCCUUAUCUUCAGUAGCCAUCAUUGAGUUGGGCACUCUGGAGAGACUGCCGUGGAUAACACGGAGGAAGGUGGGGAUGACGUCAAAUCAUCAUGCCCCUUAUGUCUUGGGCUACACACGUGCUACAAUGGCUGGUAACAAAGUGACGCAAGACGGCGACGUUAAGCAAAUCACAAAAACCCAGUCCCAGUUCGGAUUGUAGUCUGCAACUCGACUACAUGAAGCUGGAAUCGCUAGUAAUCGCGAAUCAGCAUGUCGCGGUGAAUACGUUCCCGGGUCUUGUACUCACCGCCCGUCAAG